rnacentral:rRNA from 1 species
GACGGAGGAUGCAAGUGUUAUCCGGAAUCACUGGGCGUAAAGCGUCUGUAGGUGGUUUAAUAAGUCAACUGUUAAAUCUUGAGGCUCAACCUCAAAAUCGCAGUCGAAACUAUUAGGCUAGAGUAUAGUAGGGGUAAAGGGAAUUUCCAGUGGAGCGGUGAAAUGACGUAGAGAUUGGAAAGAACACCGAUGGCGAAGGCACUUUACUGGGCUAUUACUAACACUCAGAGACGAAAGCUAGGGUAGCAAAUAGGGG